rnacentral:tRNA from 1 species
GCGGGAAUAGCUCAGUGGUAGAGCACUAGCUUCCCAAGCUGGGUGUCGCGGGUUCGAUACCCGUUUCCCGCU